UACGUAGGGUGCGAGCGUUGUCCGGAAUUAUUGGGCGUAAAGGGCUCGUAGGCGGUUUGUCACGUCAGGGGUGAAAACUCGGGGCUCAACCCCGAGCCUGCUUCUGAUACGGGCAGACUAGAGGUAUGCAGGGGAGAACGGAAUUCCUGGUGUAGCGGUGAAAUGCGCAGAUAUUGGGAAGAACACCAGUGGCGAAGGCGGUUCUCUGGGACGGUACUGACGCUGAGACACGAAAGCGUGGGGAGCGAACAGG
rnacentral:rRNA from 1 species